CCCGCGUCGUGUCGCGAGGUUAAUAUUAUUAUUAAUGUGAUCUCUCAUCAUUAUUAUAAAUAUAAAAUCUUUAAUUCUGAAUUUCGGUCGCGUCACGCAAGGAUCGAAGUGCCACGCGAAAUAUCAGCGGAUCGGAGAUAGCUAGAUCAAAUAUUUAUCAGGUUAUCGUGGUUAUGUGAAGAAGUUCUCAACAUGUGAUUAAUGAAAAAGAAGUAAAGAAGAAGAAAUCGGAGAGGGUGUCGUGUUAUACUACAUAAUCACCAAGAAAUGGAAAGAUCACAUAUAGAUUAUUUUGUUUGUGGGUGUGCUAUUUUAAAUACUCCAGGGAAAUCUAAAAAAAUAUGGAAGAUGUGGAAAAACGUUUUAGACAAAAGUUGUAGGAUAUCAAGGAAGUCAAAUAAUGUUACAUCGAAUAAUUUUGGAAACAGAGAGAGAAAGAAGAG